rnacentral:rRNA from 1 species
AUUGAACGCUGGCGGCAGGCCUAACACAUGCAAGUCGAACGAGUGGCGGACGGGUGAGUAAUGCCUAGGAAACUGCCUGGUGGAGGGGGAUAACGACUGGAAACGGGAGCUAAUACCGCAUACUAUCAGAUGAGCCCAGAUGGGAUUAGCUAGUUGGUGGGGUAAAGGCCGCCCAAGGCGACGAUCCCUACCUGGUCUGAGAGGAUGACCAGCCACACUGGAACUGAGACACGGUCCAGACUCCUACGGGAGGCAGCAGUGGGGAAUAUUGGACAAUGGGCGACAGCCUGAUCCAGCCAUGCCGCGUGUGUGAAGAAGGCCUUCGGAUUGUAAAGCACUUUCAGCUGGGAGGCGUUACCCGCAGAAGAAGCACCGGCUAACUCCGUGCCAGCAGCCGCGGUAAUUC